UUGCUUAUUUAAAUAAUUUGUUCAGACAUCACUGUAUUCAACCAGAUUUUUAAACUGUAGCAGCCUUUUGGGCAUAUAAGACCUCAAAAAAAAAAAAUUUGAAGCCAAACCGAACCCAAGUAAACCACAAUGGGGCAGUAAACAAAGGAUUAGGGUUCGUGGGGAUAUUAAAGCCCACACGCCCUCAUUAAUGAUCCUUCCGCAGGUUCACCUACGGAAA
rnacentral:misc_RNA from 1 species